AAUCAACGCUGGCGGCGUGCCUCAGACAUGCAAGUCGAACGAUUAAACUUUCCUUCGGGAAAGAUAUAAAGUGGCGCACGGGUGAGUAACACGUAAGUAAUCUACCUUCGAGUGGGGAAUAACGUCGGGAAACCGACGCUAAUACCGCAUAAUGCAGCGGCACCUAAUGGUGACAGUUGUUAAAGGAGCAAUUCGCUUGAAGAGGAGCUUGCGGCAGAUUAGCUAGUUGGAAGGUAACGGCUUACCAAGGCUACGAUCUGUAACCGGUCUAAGAGGACGGUCGGUCACACUGACACUGAAUAACGGGUCAGACUCCUACGGGAGGCAGCAGUCGGGAAUUUUGGGCAAUGGGCGAAAGCCUGACCCAGCAACGCCGCGUGAAGGAUGAAGUAUUUCGGUAUGUAAACUUCGAAAGAAUGGGAAGAAUCAAUGACGGUACCAUUUAUAAGGUCC
rnacentral:rRNA from 1 species